CAGAGGGGGCAAGCGUUGUUCGGAAUUACUGGGCGUAAAGGGCGCGUAGGCGGCCUGCUAAGUCGAACGUGAAAUCCCCGGGCUCAACCCGGGAACUGCGUCCGAUACUGGUUGGCUUGAAUCCGGGAGAGGGAUGCGGAAUUCCAGGUGUAGCGGUGAAAUGCGUAGAUAUCUGGAGGAACACCGGUGGCGAAGGCGGCAUCCUGGACCGGCAUUGACGCUGAGGCGCGAAAGCCAGGGGAGCAAACGGGAUUAGAUACCCCGGUAGUCCUGGCCCUAAACGAUGAAUGCUUGGUGUGGUGGGUAUCGAUCCCUACCGUGCCGAAGCUAACGCAUUAAGCAUUCCGCCUGGGGAGUACGGUCGCAAGGCUG
rnacentral:rRNA from 1 species